AUUGAACGCUGGCGGCAUGCCUUACACAUGCAGGUCGAACGGUAACGGGCCUUCGGGUGCCGACGAGUGGCGAACGGGGGAGUAAUGUAUCGGAACGUACCUUUCAGUGGGGGAUAACGUAGCGAAAGUUACGCUAAUACCGCAUAUUCUGUGAGUCGGAAAGCAGGGGAUCGCAAGACCUUGUGCUCAUUGAGCGGCCGAUAUCUGGAUUGGCUAGUUGGUGGGGUAAAGGGUAACCAAGGGGACGAUCCGUAGCGGGUCUGAGAGGAUGAUCCGCCACACUGGAACUGAGACACGGUCCAGACUCCUACGGGAGGCAGCAGUGGGGAAUUUUGGACAAUGGGGGCAACCCUGAUCCAGCCAUGCCGCGUGGAUGAAGAAGGCCUUCGGGUUGUAAAGCCCUUUCGGCCGGGAAGAAAUCGUUUCAGCUAAUAACCUGGUCGGAUGACGGUACCGGCAUAAGAAGCACCGGCUAACUACGUGCCAGCCGCCGCAGUAAAAC
rnacentral:rRNA from 1 species